rnacentral:rRNA from 1 species
GACGAACGCUGGCGGCGUGCUUAACACAUGCAAGUCGAACGGAAAGGCCCUGCUUUUGUGGGGUGCUCGAGUGGCGAACGGGUGAGUAACACGUGAGUAACCUGCCCUUGACUUUGGGAUAACUUCAGGAAACUGGGGCUAAUACCGGAUAGGAGCUCCUGCUGCAUGGUGGGGGUUGGAACGUUUCGGCGGUUGGGGAUGGACUCGCGGCUUAUCAGCUUGUUGGUGGGGUAGUGGCUUACCAAGGCUUUGACGGGUAGCCGGCCUGAGAGGGUGACCGGCCACAUUGGGACUGAGAUACGGCCCAGACGCGUACGGGAGGCAGCAGUGGGGAAUAUUGCACAAUGGGCGGAAGCCUGAUGCAGCAACGCCGCGUGCGUGAUGACGGCCUUCGGGUUGUAAACCGCUUUCGCCUGUGACGAAGCGUGAGUGACGGUAAUGGGUAAAGAAGCACCGGCUAACUACGUG